AGUGAACGCUGGCGGUAGGCCUAACACAUGCAAGUCGAACGGCAGCACAGUAAGAGCUUGCUCUUACGGGUGGCGAGUGGCGGACGGGUGAGGAAUACAUCGGAAUCUACUUUUUCGUGGGGGAUAACGUAGGGAAACUUACGCUAAUACCGCAUACGACCUACGGGUGAAAGCAGGGGAUCUUCGGACCUUGCGCGAUUGAAUGAGCCGAAGUCGGAUUAGCUAGUUGGCGGGGUAAAGGCCCACCAAGGCGACGAUCCGUAGCUGGUCUGAGAGGAUGAUCAGCCACACUGGAGCUGAGACACGGUCCAGACUCCUACGGGAGGCAGCAGUGGGGAAUAUUGGACAAUGGGCGCAAGCCUGAUCCAGCCAUACCGCGUGGGUGAAGAAGGCCUUCGGGUUGUAAGGCCCUUUUGUUGGGAAAGAAAAGCAGCAGGUUAAUACCCCGCUGUUCUGACGGUACCCAAAGAAUAAGCACCGGCUAACUUCGUG
rnacentral:rRNA from 1 species